AGCAGCCGCGGUAAUUCCAGCUCCAAUAGCGUAUAUUAAAGUUGUUGCAGUUAAAAAGCUCGUAGUUGAAUUUCGGGGUUAGCAAGUUGGUCGUGCCAUCGGUAUGCACUGGCUUUGCUGAUUCCUCCUUCUUGAAGAACUGUGAUGCUAUUAAUUUGGUGUUGCAGGGAAACAGGACUGUUACCUUGAAAAAUUAGAGUGUUUAAAGCAGGCUAACGCUUGAAUACAUUAGCAUGGAAUAAUGAAUAGGACGUUUGAUCCUAUUUGUUGGUUUCUAGGAUUGACGUAAUGAUUAAUAGGGAUAGUUGGGGGCAUUAGUAUUCAAUUGUCAGAGGUGAAAUUCUUGGAUUUAUUGAAGACUAACUACUGCGAAAGCAUUUGCCAAGGAUGUUUUCAUUAAUCAAGAACGAAAGUUAGGGAUCGAAGACGAUCAGAUACCGUCGUAGUCUUAACCAUAAACUAUAG
rnacentral:rRNA from 1 species